UCAUUAAGUGAAGACAGAGCUUAAUGAGGGGAACUCAGGGAACUGAAACAUCUAAGUACCUGAAGGAAGAGAAAGAAAUUCGAUUCCGUAAGUAGCGGCGAGCGAACGCGGAUUAGCCCAAACCAAUAAAGUUGUCUUUAUUGGGGUUGCGGACAUAUCAUAACGAAGAGGUAUCGUAAUUGAAGAGGUUUGGAAAGACCCACCACAGAAGGUAAUAGUCCUGUAUGUUAAACGAGAAGACUUCAGAUAUGAUCCAGAGUACCACGGGACACGUGAAACCCUGUGGGAAGCAGGAGGGACCACCCUCCAAGGCUAAAUACUACCUAGUGACCGAUAGCGUAUAGUACCGUGAGGGAAAGGUGAAAAGAACCCCGGGAGGGGAGUGAAAUAGAACCUGAAAC
rnacentral:rRNA from 1 species